UACGUAGGGCGCAAGCGUUGUCCGGAAUUAUUGGGCGUAAAGAGCUCGUAGGUGGCUUGUCGCGUCUGCCGUGAAAGCCCAUGGCUUAACUGUGGGUCUGCGGUGGAUACGGGCAGGCUGGAGGCUGGUAGGGGCAAGCGGAAUUCCUGGUGUAGCGGUGAAAUGCGCAGAUAUCAGGAGGAACACCGGUGGCGAAGGCGGCUUGCUGGGCCAGUUCUGACGCUGAGGAGCGAAGGCGUGGGGAGCGAACAGG
rnacentral:rRNA from 1 species